rnacentral:lncRNA from 10 species
AUCUGUUUUACUAGAUUGUUUUACUUGUUUGUAUGAUUUUACAAGCUCCUAUAAUACCAAUCUAUCACACAUUCUAAAACAGAUGGGUGCAAUAAUAAAUCGCCAUUUGACUGGGGAACGUUUCUCUUAAAGUUAAGAAAAAAAUAUCAGGCCUUGCUCCUCCAAAAAUGUCAGGUGGAUCACCUGAGGUCAGGAGUUCGAGACCACUCCUCCACUGUGGAGUAGACAACCCAUGGUUAUAACCCUCAAACCCUGUGGUCCUUUGAGGUUGCCACUGUAUCCAGGGGGUGUAACCAAAGCAGUAGGAUUUGCUCUCUGGCCUCCAUGAAAAAGAGUUCUUUACUUCAAAAGUAGUUCCACCCUUCCUCAUUUCACAAAACCUAAUGCUUUGCUAUAAUACAACAUGAUAUAGUAGUAGACUCCAAGAAGUUUUCUUUAUCUUUUAGAAAUUAAUAUGUGUGACACAAGUUAUAAAAAAUUAAAAGAAUGGGUAGUUUUAUAAAUCUCAUUUUAUCUACAAGUCUAUAUUUUAAGUUUUUCUCUAUGUUGCUAUGCAGAAAAAAAGAAUUCAAACAAUUCUGACAAAAACUAGUAAUUAUUUCAUAACUGAGGCUGUUACAAGAAAGAUGGCUUGAAAGGGCAGGUGCUAAAAAACAUAAAAAGAUUCUGUAAAGGGUUCUGAUGGGACAGAAAUGGCAAAUUUAAAAGAGAGGUAAAGAAAAUUGGAGAGAGGAGCUUCUAAUGACAAAAUAUUGUAGUGAGACUAAAGACAAGACUACUUUGAAGACUACAGAAUCAAAUAUAAUACUUCACAAAAUAAAAGGGCUUUUGCAAUAGUCAUAUUCAAAGGCUCUCUAAAGACCUAAUUAAAUUUGGGAGACGAAGGCAGGCCGAUCACUUGAGGUCAGGAGUUUGAGACCAGCCUGUCCAACAUGAUGAAACCCUGUAUAUAUUAAAAAUAAAAAUAAAAAAAUUAGUUGGGCGUGGUGGCGCAUGCUUUUAAUCCCAGCUACCAGAUGGCUGAGACACGAGAUUUGCUUGAACCCAGGAGGCAGAGGUUGAAGUGAGCCGAGAUGGCACCAUUGCUCUCCAGCCCCAACUAAUUCUAAUGUGAUGAUGAUCCCUGCUUGAGGUGCAUAUUGUAAAGUUAAGAGGAAAUGGAUAUGUUCUCUUUGGUUUCCUCUUUAUUCCGUCAAUAAAUAUAUUAAGACAAGCCAGACUUGUGAAAAUCUAGACUUCAUAUAUUUGUCUCCAGAGGGAAAGAUAGGAGGAAGAAAUUUUUAGUAAUUAAACACAUGAGUAGAAACUAGAAGAAUGCAAAUUAUGAGUUGAUAUAAAGAACACUUUCUAGCUUUCUUUAAUUUAGAACAUUUUACAGCCUUUUUUGGCAAUUGACAUUUUUGAGGUAAUUGUCUGCUGCAUCUUUUUUGUUUGUUUUAAUAGAAUGUUACUCAUUUUGUGUUUGUCAUCUUUCCUCAUGAUUAGAUUCAGGCUAUAGAUUCUCAGCGAGAAUGCAGCAUAUGUGAUACCGUGUUUUUCUUCACACAUACGGAGGCACAUUAUGUCCAACUUUCUGUCAUAGGUGAUAUUAAAGUUGGUCUUAUGGUAAUGAUGCUGUUGAUUUCUCCACUGUAUAAUUACUGUUUAUGUUUUCUCCCUUGUAACUAAUCAGCAAUCUGUAGGGAGACACUUUAAGACUAUGCAAAUACCCUGUUUCUUGUCAAAAUUUUCCCCUAGAUUUAGCAUUCAUUCAGGAUUCUUGCCUGAGCUAAUCUUUACCAUGAUGGCUGUAAAAUCUUCUUUCAUAUAAUGCUCAUUAUGCAGAAUGUGGAAUAUAUAGAAACAUAAAAUGCAUAAAGGAAAAAUCUAAAAGAAAGCUCUCCACCUAUUAAAUAAAUAAAUGUAUGUGAAGCAAUUUUCAUGUAUUGUUUUUCUGUCUUCUCAGGAAUGUGUACGUAAACAGAAUCAUGUAUUUUGUGAUGUGAAUGUGUGACUCCAGCACUUGCCGUACAUUUACCAGUUCGCCUUUGUUAUUCCAUUGUAAGCAAGGAAUCCACCCCUUGUUAAUCAAUUAAUUAAUCUAUUUUUAACACGGAAUCUUAAAUAUUAAUUUUAAAGAUUUAUAAUUUAUUAUUGUUCUUAUUUAUUUUGGUGCUCAAAAUUGUUGUAUGUCUGGCCAUUGGGAGCUCCUUCAGUUUGGUUCCUGUGUACCUAUAACAUGCAAGAUCUUUCUUCCUUUCUUUUUGCCUCUCUCCCCUCUCUUUUUCUUUGUUUCUUUUUCUUUAUUUUUUUCUCUUUUCUCUCUCUUCUUUCUUCCUUUCUAGAACUUUCAUAAUUAUGAUACAAUAAGAUGUUCCAGACUCAUCUCUCACACUGAUACUGUCCUAGCCCUGAAAUCAGCCAUGUCUCUUAGUAGCUCUGGUUUAAUUUAGUGGGAAAUUGUAUUAAUAAUCAAGUUCUGAGCACUAAGUAUGUUCAAUGCUGUGGAGUAGGAUCCACUAUGGCCAGUGCUGUCUUAUGCAGGGCUUAAUGUGGAGUGAAAACCAAAAGAAGGUUCCCCAAGGUCAGAGGGAGGAUAACAUCACUUGAUAUAAGCUACUUGUUAGGAGACAGAAUUUUCAGAGUGAAAAUGAGGCUAUUCUGGCAGAUAUAACUUAUACAAAUUGAUGUGAUCAGCCCUGUGUAUAACUGAGUGUCUCAAAGUUUUAGCAAUGUUUCAAACUCCAAUCUAGGUGAUCUAUGUGCUAUUGUAGAGAGGCAGUGUGAAAACAUGAUUGUAAUUUUAGUAAGCAGAAACCUAAGUGAUUGCUUGUCAUGUUUACAGAAACUGUGAAUUGAAGAGUAUGGCAGUAUUACCUAGAUCAGCAGUCUCCAACUUCUUUUAUUGUACAUCCUAGAAGUAAAAAUAUUUAAAUAUGCUUCUGUGGUACAAUACUAAGAUUCAUCAAAAGAGGCCACAAUCACUAUUAUUAAAUAGAACGAAACUUUGUAAAGUACCAGGUCAAGAAUUAAUUGCCUUUAACAUACAUGUAUUUCCCAAUCACUGAAAGAAAAAGUAUAUGGAAUAUUUUCAUUUUAUAUAUGCUUAGUAUUUAAUUUCUUCUAUUAAAUAAAAUUUAUAGGGGGCCAUUGAUUUGAACUGAGCUGCUGCACCAGGCCAACAGACCAAAAUGGAGUCACUCAUGCUGAAGUUCCACAUCACCAAACUGAAACUAAGUUGUCUAUCAGACCUUCUAAGAAGUCAGGAGACAGAGGGAGAUAAUAGCCAAGUCAUCAAACAGGCCAGUUUUAGCCAGCAUGAUUUUUAAAACAUCUCCUUUGUUUAUCUUUUACAAAAAAAGUAACUUUGAAAUGACCAACCGACUUUUUGUAUUCUGUUUCUGCUUUUCUCAGCCCUUUUCUGGCUUUAAAAGAAAACUCCUCUGCUCAGCUCAUCAGAACACUCAUUCUGUUUUAUGGAAUGAAAUGUUGCUUGAUCUGACGUUUGCAAAUAAAGCCAAUUAAGAUCUUUAAGCUAAAUUUGUUGUAACUUUGUCUUUUCACACUUUUGACACUUUCUAAACAUGGUGGUUCCAUACUAUCACCAGUU